GAUGAACGCUGGCGGCGUGCCUAAUACAUGCAAGUCGAGCGAACAGACGAGGAGCUUGCUCCUCUGACGUUAGCGGCGGACGGGUGAGUAACACGUGGAUAACCUACCUAUAAGACUGGGAUAACUUCGGGAAACCGGAGCUAAUAACGGAUAAUAUAUUGAACGGGAUGGUUCAAUAGUGAAAAACGGCUUUGCUGUCAAUUAUAUAUGGAUCCGCGCCGCAUUAGCUAGUUGGUAAGGUAAAGGCUUACCAAGGCGACCAUGCAUAGCCGACCUGAGAGAGUGAGUGGCCACACUAGAACUAAGCCAAGGUCCCUACACCUACGGCAGGCAGCAGUAGGAAAUAUUGCGCGAUUCGCGAAAGCCUGACGCAGCAACGCCGCCUAAGUGAUGAAGGUCUUCGGAUCGUAAAACUAUCUUAUUAGGGAAGAACAAAUGUGUAAGUACCUCUGCACGUCUUGACGGUACCUAAUCAGACAGCCACGGCUAACUACGUG
rnacentral:rRNA from 1 species